rnacentral:rRNA from 1 species
UGGGGAAUCUUGCACAAUGGGGGCAACCCUGAUGCAGCGACGCCGCGUGAGCGAUGAAGCCCUUCGGGGCGUAAAGCUCUUUCGACCGGAACGAUAAUGACGGUACCGGGAGAAGAAGCUGCGGCUAACUACGUGCCAGCAGCCGCAGUAAUACGUAGGCAGCAAGCGUUGUUCGGAGUUACUGGGCGUAAAGAGUGCGUAGGCGGUUUUCUAAGUUCGGUGUGAAAUCUCCCGGCUUAACUGGGAGGGUGCGCCGAAGACUGGGAAGCUGGAGUGUGGGAAAGGCAGGCGGAAUUCCUGGUGUAGCGGUGAAAUGCGUAGAUAUCAGGAGGAACACCGGCGGUGUAGACGGCUUGCUAGACCAUAACUGACGCUGAGGCACGAAAGCGUGGGUAGCAAACA